rnacentral:rRNA from 1 species
AUAGUAAUUCAACUUAGUACGAGAGGAACCGUUGAUUCGCGUAAUUGGUAUUUGCGGCUGUCCGAUCGGGCAAUGCCGCGAAGCUACCACGCGUUGGAUUAUGGCUGAACGCCUCUAAGUCAGAAUCCAUGCUGGCAAUCGUGCUACUCUCCUCAACCGAUGUUCGUGUAUAGCGAUAGCCUUCGGGUCAACAUCAUACAGUGCUGGCACUGCCUCUUAAAAGGGCACGUACAGCGAAACAUAAUUUCCAAUGUUGGUUGAGUUAAAUCCUUUGUAGACGACUUAAAUAUGGAACGAGGUACUGUAAGCAUGAGAGAGGCCUUUGUGCCUCGAUCUGCUGAGGUUCAGCCUUUGUUUCGGCGAU